rnacentral:rRNA from 4 species
CGACCCCAGGUCAGCGGA